UGGUGGGUAGUUUGACUGGGGCGGUCUCCUCCUAAAGAGUAACGGAGGAGCACGAAGGUUGGCUAAUCCUGGUCGGACAUCAGGAGGUUAGUGCAAUGGCAUAAGCCAGCUUGACUGCGAGCGUGACGGCGCGAGCAGGUGCGAAAGCAGGUCAUAGUGAUCCGGUGGUUCUGAAUGGAAGGGCCAUCGCUCAACGGAUAAAAGGUACUCCGGGGAUAACAGGCUGAUACCGCCCAAGAGUUCAUAUCGACGGCGGUGUUUGGCACCUCGAUGUCGGCUCAUCACAUCCUGGGGCUGAAGUAGGUCCCAAGGGUAUGGCUGUUCGCCAUUUAAAGUGGUACGCGAGCUGGGUUUAGAACGUCGUGAGACAGUUCGGUCCCUAUCUGCCGUGGGCGCUGGAGAACUGAGGGGGGCUGCUCCUAGUACGAGAGGACCGGAGUGGACGCAUCACUGGUGUUCGGGUUGUCAUGCCAAUGGCACUGCCCGGUAGCUAAAUGCGGAAGAGAUAAGUGCUGAAAGCAUCUAAGCACGAAACUUGCCCCGAGAUGAGUUCUCCCUGACUCCUUGAGAGUCCUGAAGGAACGUUGAAGACGACGACGUUGAUAGGCCGGGUGUGUAAGCGCAGCGAUGCGUUGAGCUAACCGGUACUAAUGAACCGUGAGGCUUAA
rnacentral:rRNA from 1 species